UAAGCCAAUGGCCUUUGGCCACAGAUCCAAAGGCUGACAUCUGAGGACAGUGUGCAUAAAUGCUUUUGGCAACAUCUUCUAGGAUUUUCUAUAAACCAGCAUCAAGCCAAUUUAUCUGACCUCCUUGAUCUGCACAGCCAUCCGGCACCUACAGCUAUUUUCUAGAGGCCUGAAUGAGUCAAAAGAAGAAAAUGAUUAAUCAACUCGCCGAGAUCUGGGAGCUGGAAGAGAGCCAUCCUGGUCCCUAUCACUGACUGGUGUGUCACAAGGCACUCGUUGAGCAAUGACAGCUGUUGCUUUCACUGCACUGGCUUGCAGAGAGGGCCCUGGGGAUUUUGCCUUUUGGCCCACAGGUGGUGCCGGUGGGACUGUCGAUCAAGGUUCAGGGACCUUGCCAAGGAAUAGACUUAUAACCCAAGCCAAACAGCCAAUCAGAAUCUCUCCUGGAAACGUGACUAAUCAGUGGAACAAUAAAGAUCAGGAAAUGUCUGCAGUGGGUGCAUCCCAGAAGUGCUACUAUGACCCAACCAUCAGUUUCUGUUUCCUUUUCCUGGUCUGGAAACCUGCUGGUUCUACUUUUCCUUCAAUUCUAUGACCUAGUCCAUAUCCACAGAAAACUGCUGUUUUCUUUUAAGUUAGCCAUAGUUAGUUUCUGUUUCUGUAAUCAAAAAGUCUCAACCAAUAUAAUCUAUGUUAUGUUGCAUCAAAAAGUCACCUGUGUGAGACCAUUCUAUAGUUUGAUGCCUUUUGUAACCUCUCGACUACAAGACUUUUCUCUGUACCUUCUCAGCCCUGGAUACACAGUUGAAAAAAUUUAACUGAUUCUGAGGAGCAGGGACAAAGUGCUCGGACAUGCUAGAAAUAAUGAGUUGCUUCAACCUCAUCAAACUCGAAAUUUUUGUAUGAGAUAAGGAUGUCAUAGCCUGGACGAUAAUGACACCAGCUACUGGUCAAAACCAUUCUGCCAAACCCUAAACCACUAAUGUACAUGUGGCAAUCUAGACAGCAGGGUAGGAUACAAGGAUACAACUGAUUUACAAUAUAGCUGUGAUCCUGGCCCCAAGUAAAAGGCUUGUGUAACCAAAAGCUAUAGGAAGCCCCACCCUGGGGCUGGGGACACUUGCUCUGUUGGUUACAGUUUUCAGGGCCUGCCUCUCUGUCUGGACACAGGGUGACUGACAGACUGGAGAGGGACCCCUGUCCAGCAUGUGCAAGGGCCUUGAAGGAAUAAGGCUGAGCCAAGGACAGGAGACUGGGACCUUGUCACUCGCAAUAUUCCGGAGACUGCUCUACUCAGAAAUGAGCUCUGAGCAGGUUAACCCCGACUUCACUGCAGAUGUCUACUCUAUGAGGUCAUUUCUUGGUCACCCUGCUACAUAUAAGACCAUGAAAGUGGCAGGAAUCAUGAAAGACCAUGAUUCCUGUCGUGGUGGAGAUAAGUAAGCCAGAGGCAUCUUAUAUAAUGCCACACUCUUACCUACAUGAAAACUGUCCAGAAGUUUCAACAUCUUGACUCUUAUCACACGCCAUUCUAAAAUGCAGUGAGUGUGUUGCUCACCUUAUCCAUGCAGGCCCUGCCGGGAAAGAGUUUUAUAAGAAGUGCUAACUGCCAAGAAUUCCACAGGUGGGCCAAGAACGCAAUUAGGCCAACAGGGACUAGGUUCCCCAGUUCCUGGCCAUGGAAAAGACUGGCCAGUAGGGUGACUGUAAAUCAGUAUAAAAGGCUGAAAUAUGUACAACUCAAUAUAGAAGAAAAGAGCUGCUUCUCAGCUGUCUAUUUAUAAAUGAGCUUUCAUUUAUAAACUUUCAAAAAUAUAAAGCUAUGUCUUAUAAAGGUGCCAGUCAACUUUGCCCAUCAACACAAGAGAUUAGCUCUUGCAUGAAGUAUCUCUUUGGUGGCUUAGCAACAAGUAGACUUUUGGAACCUGUAUCUUUACAAGUUAAGAACUUCUGUGGUACUUUUAGAGAACAUUAGGUUUUCUCCCCAAAUCUCCCAGCUUCUAGAGCUCCAGAUAGGUCACUGAGAAAAUCAUGCUUGAUUCCCACACUCAUAAUGUACAGAAAGCUACGAAACCUGAGACCUGGAAGGGACCUUAGCAAUCACUUAGAUUAAAUUCCAUCAUUUUGCAAAGGUCAAACUGUAUGUGAGGUCCAACCACGAAGUAAUUACCUUGAUCUUCUCCCCGCCCCCGCCCCCCCAAGAAGUGGUUACUUGAUGUCGGUCACACAGCUGGUCGGCGGCCAGGCUAAAUCCGGCACACAGAUCAUCUGACUCCUGUCCAUAGCUCCUUUCACUACCUUAACUGCUUUACAACAAAGUUACUAAAUUCUCAUUCAUUCAUUCAUUCAGCACAAAUUUAUGAAACACAUCUGAUAUGCCAGGAGCUGUUAUAGGUAAGCACAAAAUAAUGAAUAAAACUAAGUUCCUUUAAAAAUAUAAAUCAACCCUGAUUGGCAUGGCUCAGUUUUAGUUGAGCAUCGUCCCACAAAGUGAAUGAGAGGCAACUGAUUGAUGUUUCUCUCACACAUCGAUGUUUCCUUCCCUCUCUUUCUCCCUCCUGUCCCUUCUCUCUAAAAGUAAAUAAACACAAUUUUUAAAAAUAAUAAAAUAAAUCAAAGUUGGUUUCUAAAAGUGACACCUCUCAGUGUUUUGGAAUAUUUUCUCACUAUGGUAAAGGCAAGAGAAUUGAGACAAAGAUGAGAAAAUGUUGUAAAAUCCUUGAAAUGAUGGUUCAACAUCAAUUGAGCAGUACGUGAAUUGUUUUGAUAGUAAGAGAGAACAUUUUCACUAAGUUAAUAAGCUGAGGCCUGGAGACUCUUCCUAG